UGAUGGCUGGCAUCAGCAGAAGAGAGAGCAGAUUUAAAAUUUUGCAGUGGCAUUGUGAUAGGCUGAGAUAUUGUGGCAAAGUGUGAUUGGAUAACUAGAAGAGGGAACACCCUUAGUCAGCUGAUUAGAGGGAGUAGUGAGAGUGGGAUGGAGAAAAUGUGAAAGGGUGAGCACAGAGAAAGGUCUUCCUGAUUGAAUUUACGCUGAGCUUCAUUGCACAUAAUCCAGUCGAAAUUAACAUAUAUUUUUAAACACUUGAAGAUCCACUCAUUACUAAAAGUGUAUGUCAUAUGAAAACUAAAGUAAUGGUCAAAGUCGUCACAGUGUUUUGAUGGAUUUACGGCGUCAACUCAUGCAUUAAAAGUCGCCAGCAGUCGGCCCAGUGACUUAUUUUCCUCUGACUCCAGCUGCUGCGAGAGGCAGCAAAACAUCUUUUUAUUUUAUAGUUACAGUUUACUAGUAUAUGUAAAACUCUCCACAGUAUGAACAGUGGUUACAUGAGCCUCAAAACCAGCCACAACUCAGCCCUGAGCAGAAUGACCAUCCUCUAUUGACCAAUCAACAGACUGCAGUGUUCAUAGCUCCACCUUUUAGUACCAGAUCUGUGUGCUAGGUACCCCAACAGAAGGGGGACCAAAAAUGGGGACGGUACAGAACGGUUCCAUUGGUUCCACCAAAACCUUUUCACAGUGGAAACGGAAAAAAAGCAAACUGAACUGAACCGUACUGCUCGGUGGAAAUGAGGCUUUUACAAUUGAUCAUUUUAUGGGGUAAUAUUUCUUUGUGUACAAUUUUGAGCGACUUGCAUUUACUGGAGUAUUUCCAUUUUCUUUCUGCUACACUACACGUAAUAACCAAAUUUUGUUCUUUUUAUUCCACUACAUUUAUUUGACAACUUUAACAUCUAGUUAACUUGCAGAUUAAGAUUAAAUAGGGUUAAACAAAUGUGUAUUGUAAUAGGUAAGAUAAGUGCAAAUCUCUCUUGGUCCUUGGGGUAAAAUUUCCGAGCUACCUGUUGUGUUCUGCUCGUCCCUCUCCUACACACCUGUUUGGAAAUAGAUGUGUGAAGUACUCCUUUGUUCUGAACACAUGAAUGCAUCCAUAGUUAUAAUCCAGUAAUAUGAUACGUAAUUAAUAUAAAAUGGGCCAUUCUGCAUCAUGAGUAGUUGGACUUUUGGUACUUUAAGUAUAUUUUAUUGCUAAUACUUUAGUACUUUUACUCAAGUAAAAUCUAGAGUAUAUCUACACUGUGGUAUUGCUACUUUUGCUAAAGUAAAAACUUAAGUACUUCUUCCACCACUGCUGCUAAUAUGCACAUUAUCAAAGUGACAUAAAGAUGUGAUGAAACAGUUAGAAGCUUAGUUGACGUGUCUAUAGACAGAUCAAUUACCAAACUAAUUUCAGCCUUUCAAAAUAUGACGAUUUGAUGCUCAUCUGUAUUUCAUAUAUCACAGUUAAUAGCUUGUUCUGUGGAACAAAAAUAGCAAGUUUAAUUAAUCAGUGAGUCGUGCACCAGUUUACCAGUUGCAGUCCGAAUAUACAUCAAAUUGAUGUUCAUGGCAUGGUAAUAGCAAGCAAGACAGCGCCUUUUGAUUUUAUUGUAAUGUUUCCCUAAUUAGUGUCAUGAGAUUUAAUUAAUGUAGAUAUAUUUUUUAUCACAAUAAUUUGUUGUUUAUUCAUCAUGCAAAAAUUCUUGUGAUAGAGGGUAAACAAUGAGGUUUGUGAGUUACUGCUCAGCUCAAACUGUAGGCAGUCAUUCAUGCGAACUAGUCAUCAUGGCUGCUUUUCUGCCCAUUAAAAUCCAGAAAAACCGGUCAAAGACAGAUGUUUGCAUGUCUAACUGCAGCAAAUAUAUGCCACUGGGUUGUGCAAAUAACCUACAGAGCUGAAAAAAAGACUUGUGAAUAUUUGUUUAUGCCCUUUCACCUUUAAAAAGACAGAGCCUCAUAGAAAAAAUGCAUACUAUGCAACCUGCAAAUUUACGUGUUUAGGCAGUGUGUUAUUUCUGAGCACUGAGUGUGUUGUUAAAGCUGUUUUCUGCAAGGGUCACAGAUCAUAUAAACUUGACAAUAUUCACUUCCAAACGCGACUGUAAACAGCACACUCGGUCUGAUUUUCUGACCAUAUGCCUCGCUGAGCUUCUGCACAGACAGCAGGCAGCAUCUGUUCAGUUCAGGGUCUAAGUAUCUCCACAUGUCAAUGCUGCACGUGCAGCUAUUUACCAGUUACGGCAUAAAUCCCCUAUUCUCUCUCUUUCCUUUUGUCUCUUUGUCUCAUCUCGUCUUGACACUCCGUCUACUAUCCUGUUUGUCUCCUUCCCUCCAUCUGCCUCUCAGCCCCAAAUGACCCUCGGUCAGUUUCCUGCCUUUCUUUGCCUCAUCUGUGUCUUCCUGUUAUUCUCCGUCUGUGUCUGUUUGUGCCUCAUCCCCUCGGUAACAUUUUGUUUCCUCCUUACAGUUUACAUUAUUUUAUGUUGGCACUUAUUAUUCAAAGACAUGACAGUUGUUUAAAUACAGAGAUAAUAGCACACAAUUUCUGUCUGUCUCUGAUGGAAGGAAUUUAUAGUGUUGAAAUAAAAAAAAAAGUGACAGAAAUGAAGAUGAAGAAGAUGGUCACAAAUACAUAAAAAGAUCUUGUUACAAAUUACAAAUACUUGCAGUCAAAUGUAUUAAAUUAAAAUACAAGUAAUGUGUAAUUUGAAAAAACUCAAAUCUGAUAUUAUUAUAUUUUAGGCAUUUUGUAACCUCAGUAUCUGUCCAUAAAUCUGUCUUGUAAUAAAUAAAUAAUUUUGGGUAUAUCUGGAAGGUGGAGGAGGCUCCAAAUUUAGAAUUUUUGUUUACAGUUAUCUGGGGAUAAAAAUGUGUUUUAUUUGGAAAUAAAAUGGCAUAAUAAAUAAUGGAUUAUAAGUAUUUUAAAUAGACAAAUACAAGCUCUUGAGGUAUUUUGUUACAAAUUAUAUCUUAUUUUUUUCUGUCCAGCAAAAUACAAACACAAAACACAUUUAAAAGUAAUUAAAUAUAUAUUUUUUAAAUACAUUUAAGUGAAAUUUAUCUCUGCUUGAAGAAGGUUUGAAUGUGAAAUUGCCAUUUUUGGAAGGUAACAGAAAUUGUCAGAUAAUGCUUUUAUUGAAGCAGCAUUAUUUAUUUAUUUAUUUAUUGGUGACUUGGAGGCAGCGGAACAAGCUGUAAACACAACAUUGACAUAUUAUCAGCCAUAUUGUUUUGGCAAAUUUACAAUACAAAUUUACGCAUCCAGCAACAAAAGCAUUCAUUUCGAGUCGUGUCUGUGGCCACCUGACAUAUUCACUCUCUUUUUAGCUCUGUGUUUGGUCUCCACCGACUCCUGAGGGAAAUGUGCUGCUCUUUAGCUGCUAAAUGCUCCACUGUGGUCACUUGCUACUUGCUAACAUUGUCUGUCUGCUGUUUGAUGCUGAGCAGGUAGUGUACAGUUAGUUAUCAAAGUUUUUUCUGCUGGAAGCAGGGACGAUAAGAGCAGUGAACCAAAACAAUGAAGCUACCAGAUGUGAAACCAAAACAUUGAACUGAUAGAUGCAGAAACACUCCGUACAGCUGGGUGAAACUGCACAGUUGGUAAUUAUUGUUUGCUGGUCACUGCAAAUGACCUUUCACGUCAAACAUAGUGAAUUGAUCCAUUUUAAGUGUAAAAAACUUUGUUGGCUGACUAUUGCUGUCCUCUUUCUCUCUUCCCUUUAGGUAAAGAUAGUGCGCAGUGGUGAUGUGCAGUGCUUGUCCUUCCCUCUAACUGUAGCGACCUUCUUCACGUCAACCUCCUGGGUCCUGUAUGGCCUGCAGCUGAAUGACUACUAUAUUGUGGUUCCAAACACACCUGGGAUCUUCACCAGCCUCAUCAGAUUUUAUCUGUUUCGGAGAUUUGCGUCUGUCAAUCAGAGCUCGCCGUCCUAUAAAUCUAUGCAGAUAUGAGGAUAUGAGGGUGGGGUGGGGUGGGGGUGGGGGGGGGGGGGGGUAUGAAAAAAGAUGACACAUCUGUUGACACUGUGGAGGGCUGCUGCGAAGAUCUCCCAUCACCUGUCUUGUACUUUUGAUCAUACAGAGAGACAGUGGAGAGAAACAAACGGCACCACUGAUGACGUGGAGACAAUGUCGUGUGUCAUCAUGUCCAGGGGGGGUUUAUAAGUUAUUAAGUAGAGUGAAAAAAAAAAAAGUCUUUGAUUCAACUAUUUUCUGUCUGCAGCUAUUUGUUAAACCUGUGACCUGUGUUUCCUCUCCGUGUCCUUCAAGUGCCUUCUGUUAGAUCCUGUUUGCCAUUACAGAUUAAUGGCAGUUACUGAUCUACCAAAAAGUCAGGAGACUCGCAGUCUGUUUGUAAUCCAGUGAGUCGGAUUGAACCGUCCUCACCUCAUACUAGCCAAAGAUUUUAUGUAAGUUGUAACUUGCUGGCUGCUAUUUUUAAUAUCGCAUAUAGUCGAUCUCUUCCCUGGUACUCAUGUAUGGAAUAAUGUAGUAAAUAGUUUCAUAUUUUUCCCUGGUGAGGCACAGAUGAUUUCAUAUCCCCUUUAGAGUUGGCACUCAUACUGUGCAGAUAGAAUAUUGAGUCAUAUCUGUGGCAGUGAGUCAUAUUUGUUCAGAAAUUGUUUACAAUAUAUUUUACGUCCUUUUGGUACAGAAUGUGUAUGCUGGCUCAUGUCUGAGAUUAAAUAUCAUCUACUUAUAUUGUUAAUGCUAUUUUUUGUAAGAAAUUGUGUAAGAGAUUAAAUGUGAUGAAAGACGAUAUUAACACCACAGGAUUUGUUUAUAAGAACGAAUGAUGUUUAUUUUUCUGGUGGCUGGUUGGGUAAUAGAGUGUCGCUUGUCUCCUCAUUAUUUUCUGAAAUAAGGACGUGUGCUAUGCGAAUGAAACAGCUGAGUGUCAGUGCUGAGUCACUCACUUCUGAAGGAUGUAAGAUCAUUGAAUAAAAAAUACAUUUUUACCACAA